AUGUCGGUGCUGGCGGAGGUCUUCCGGGAGCCCACCCUGGCCGGGGUGGCGCGGGAGCUGGCCACCCUCGCCGCGCCGCUCUGGCUUGCCGCCCUCGUCGGCCUGCUCAUCGGCUGGGCCUGGCGCCCGCGCUGGGCAGCCGCAGUCGUCGACGUCGCCGGCAACAACCACCACGAGCCUGUCGCCGCAGCGGCGGCGCCCGCCACCGUCGCCGACCACUUCGCCAUCGUACCUAGAGCUAAGCCGGCCUCUGUGGCGCCCGUGACGGAGGAAGAGGAAUUGGCGGUCAGCACCCCGGACCUCAUGCACCUCCGCAGGGUCGUUGAAGAGAAGGACGGCGGCCCCGCCUGGACGCACAUGAUGGACCGCACGCUCCAGACAUUCCGCUACCAGGCCUGGAAAAGAGAACCCCAGAACGGCCCGCCGCAGUACCGCAGCAGCACCAUCUUCGAAGACGCGUCGCCCGAUGUCGUCAGGGAUUUCUUCUGGGACGAUGACUUCCGGAUCAGCAACACCUGGGACGACAUGCUCCUUGAGCACGACACGCUGGAGGAGUGCACGAAGACGGGGACGAUGGUUGUUCGCUGGGUCAGGAAGUUUCCGUUCUUCUGCAGCGACAGGGAGUAUGUUAUCGGUCGCAGGAUAUGGGCAUCUGGAAAGACCUACUACUGCGUUACCAAGAGCGUGCCUCGUCCCUCUGUUCCAAGGUGCAGCAAACCUCGCCGUGUGGACCUGUAUUACUCUAGCUGGUGCAUCCGUCCAGGUAUUAUUCCAGUUCCAUCACAGGUUCCUCAUAAUAACAUAUCUUGCCAGGCCAAUGUAUUUACACCUGUUCCUUUUUUAUCAGUUGAAUCAAGAAACGGCGAUGGGGCAAUGACGGCAUGCGAGGUGCUCCUGUUUCAUCACGAAGACAUGGGUAUCCCAUGGAGCAUCGCGAAGCUCGGCGUGCAGCAGGGUAUGUGGGGCUGCGUCAAACGGAUCGAGCCUGGCCUACGGGCAUACCAGACCGCAAGGGCCUCCGGUGAGCCCAUCUCGAAAUGCGCUGCAAUGGCACAUGCCAACACAAAGUUUGUCGCCGACGAGCUCACCGCUUCAGAGAACAACACCGAGGCCGGUUCGACCAGCAACAACGCCCAAGCCGAGAAGCCGAAGCACUGGACGGGCAACCUACCCAAGGUCUUCGUGAUAGGCAGCGUGGUCGCCCUGGCUUGCACCUUCGACAAGGGGCUACUGACCAAGGCCCUCGUGUUCGGAACGGCGAGAAGGUUUGCAGGACCAGGAAGAAGAUAG
rnacentral:rRNA from 1 species